rnacentral:rRNA from 1 species
GGCCUAACACAUGCAAGUCGAACGGCAGCGCGGGGCAACCUGGCGGCGAGUGGCGAACGGGUGAGUAAUAUAUCGGAACGUACCCUGGAGUGGGGGAUAACGUAGCGAAAGUUACGCUAAUACCGCAUACGAUCUAAGGAUGAAAGUGGGGGAUCGCAAGACCUCAUGCUCCUGGAGCGGCCGAUAUCUGAUUAGCUAGUUGGUGGGGUAAAGGCCUACCAAGGCAUCGAUCAGUAGCUGGUCUGAGAGGACGACCAGCCACACUGGAACUGAGACACGGUCCAGACUCCUACGGGAGGCAGCAGUGGGGAAUUUUGGACAAUGGGCGAAAGCCUGAUCCAGCAAUGCCGCGUGAGUGAAGAAGGCCUUCGGGUUGUAAAGCUCUUUUGUCAGGGAAGAAACGGUGAGGGCUAAUAUCUCUUGCUAAUGACGGUACCUGAAGAAUAAGCACCGGCUAACUACGUGCCAGCAGCCGCGGUAAUACGUAGGGUGCAAGCGUUAAUCGGAAUUACUGGGCGUAAAGCGUGCGCAGGCGGUUUUGUAAGUCUGUCGUGAAAUCCCCGGGCUCAACCUGGGAAUUGCGAUGGAGACUGCAAGGCUAGAAUCUGGCAGAGGGGGGUAGAAUUCCACGUGUAGCAGUGAAAUGCGUAGAGAUGUGGAGGAACACCGAUGGCGAAGGCAGCCCCCUGGGUCAAGAUUGACGCUCAUGCACGAAAGCGUGGGGAGCAAACAGGAUUAGAUACCCUGGUAGUCCACGCCCUAAACGAUGUCUACUAGUUGUCGGGUUUUAAUUAACUUGGUAACGCAGCUAACGCGUGAAGUAGACCGCCUGGGGAGUACGGUCGCAAGA